rnacentral:lncRNA from 1 species
GCACUCCCUUCUGUCUCUGAUGGUCAGGGUGGCUAGGGGUGGUGCUCGGCCACCCAUGCGGCGCUUGGCCACUCAUGCGGCAUGGGGAAAAAAUCCUCUCCCAAUUGGCGCGAUGGAAGAAAAAAGGAUGUUGAGUUCGAAUCCAAAUCCGAAUCCAUUAGGAUCCGAACCCAUAAUGACCUAUCAGAUUUUCGGAUUUUGGAUUUAACCCAUUAAAUUUUGGAUCAAACC